rnacentral:lncRNA from 1 species
CCUUGCGUGGGGUGUAUCUAUUUUAAAAUACAAAAAUAAUGUAAAAGUUGUCUCUCUCUUCACACCCGGGUGUAAGUUUACACUCGGGUGUAAGCCACUCUAUCUCUCUCUCUCUCUUUCUUUCUCUCUCUCUUUUCUCUCUCACUUUAAAUUAUAAUAAUAAAAAAAAUCUUACACCCCUCCCUCACACUUACACCACUGCGGAUGGUCUUAG